UUUGAGGAAGGCGUGGGUGUUAUUGGGUCCAUGUGUAUGUGCAUGGUGAUGGACUGGAAAUCGAAAGAUGAAUCACUCAGAUCUGGAUUUCUUGAGUUGUGAUGGAGUUUGGCAAAGGAUACGAUGAUGAAGAAGCGAAAGAGGAUAAAAAUUUCAUUCAAUAUUAUGGCCUGUGUAUACUAUGCCUAUCAAAUCAAUGAUAUACCAAAGCAUCUUUCAUUGGAAGAAAUGAAACAAUAUGUGAAAGGACAUUAUCAAGCAAGUCGUUCAAGCUUCUACGCCUGCCUUUAAUGCCUUUCUUACUAGGUAAGAAUUUAAUUUUGAGCACUAAGAAGGAGUACUUGCCACUUCUUCUCAUGCAAUUGCUACAAGAACACUAUUUUUGUGUUUUACAAGCCCAGGUUUUGCUUUUAACAUCAUCAAUUUAUUGUUUAUUUGCUUUUAUAGGGAUACAUGUUAGUGUAACUUAUAACAGGAGCAAUC